rnacentral:lncRNA from 1 species
ACAUCAUUUGCAUCAUCUGUCAAAAUUUCAUGGCCCUAGAUUAAACCGUUAUGAUUUUAUAACAAAAACAAUUUUAAUGUAAAUGCAUAUGGUGACUUGUUUACAUUUUCUUUGAACGCUUGUGUGGGAUACAAUUAAAUUCUCUUUUGAAAUAAAUGAAACACAAGGGGGAAAAAACACAAUUUUUUGAGACUUUAAUUAAAGAUAAAGCUUUAGAACAAUAUGUCGAAGCUCUCCCUGGUACCGUAUAGCGAUUCAGAUGAAUCUUUCGUUGAUUUAAAUGGUUUGGAAAGUUGAAAAGAAGACGAGGAGGAAACGUGUGUUGGGAAAAGGAGCUACAGAAAGCAAAAGAGAAUACCUAAAAGGCUGCAAAAAGUUAAGAAGAAAAAUACGAAUGUUUUGCCCAACCCGUGGUUAAAGAAAAAAUGUCCAAAUUCGUGUCAUAAUAAAAUUUCUGAAGAUGAAAGAGUAAGAAUAAAUGAACAUUUUUGGAGAAUCGGCAACAAAAUUAGACAGAAAGAUUGGCUGUCUUCUUGUGUUAAACAAGUCGAUAUUAAAAGGCGAUAUAGAGAAAGUGACAGAAAAAAGUGCAGCUUUAAUUAUUUUAUCAAUAUCAAUAAAAGCAGUUUUAAAGUUUGUCAAAAAUUUUUAUUGAAAACGUUGAACAUUUCACAAACGAUUUUAAUAUCCGUAAUAAAAAAUAGAAGUUCGUAUAAAACUUGCCUUGAAAAUAUGAAAAAGCCAACUGCACACAACAAAUCUGAGGAAGCAAGCAUAUCGCUAGUAAAAUCCUUUACAGAAGAAUUACCAGCGGUUCCUUCACAUUAUUGCAGGAAUAAAAGUACAAAAUUAUAUCUACCUCAAGAAUUUUGAAACAUAAAAACUGUAUAUCAGCAUUAUGUAGAACAUUUGAAAACUAUUAAUAAAGUAAACAGUCAGUUAUCGUUAA